rnacentral:tRNA from 1 species
GGGCCUGUAGUCUAGUGGAUAGGGCAUGCGUUUCCGGAGCGCAAAAUCGGGGGUUCAAAUCCCUCCAGGCUCA